CUGUCUUGUACCUCUUCGUAUCUCUUCCUCAUCCAGCUAACAUCUGUCUGGGAAAUGUAGCUCUGUGCAUGCCCUUUUCUGGUGAUCUUGCAUCAGACCUGCCAGUGAUUUGCAUACUGCUACUACUGCUUGUAGAGCUUCAAACAACGAUUAUCUGUCGAUGAAACCACAGCUUAUGAAGAGAAUACAGACAGCGUUAGAGGAUCCCUGAAUUGGGAGUCGUCACGCCGGCUUUCUCCACAGACUACCUGGCCUGAUGACUACUUGCUGUCCCCAGUCCACCGGGUCAUGCUGCUGCUCCAGUUUCAACUGUUCUGCAUGCGACUAUGGAACCCUGACCUGUUCACCGGACGUGCUACCUUGUCCCAGACCUGCAGUUUUCAACUCUCUAGAGACAGACGGUGCGGUAGAGAUACUCUGAAUGAUUGGCUUUGAAAAGCCAACCGACAUUUACUCCUGAGGUGCUGACCUGUUGCACCCUCUACAACCACUGUGAUUAUUAUUAUCUGACCCUGCUGGUCAUCUAUGAACAUUUGAACAUCUUGGCCAUGUUCUGUUAUAAUCUCCACGCGGCACAGCCAGAAGAGGACUGGCAAGCCCUCAUAGCUUGGUUCCUCUCUAGGUGUCUUCCUAGGUUCCGGCCUUUCUGGGGAGUUUUUCCUAGCCAUUGUGCUUCUACACCUGCAUUUCUUGCUGUUUGCUGUUUGGGGUUUUAGGCUGGGUUUCUGUACAGCACUCUGUGACAUCAGCUGAUAUAAGAAGGGCUUUAUAAAUAGAUUUGAUUGAUAAGCUACAACUAGCUAGCACUACAGUGCAUAAAAUGUGGUGAGUAGUUGACUCAAAGAGAGAGAAAGACAAUAGUUCAAAAGUUUAGAACAAAUUAAUUUCUUCCAAAAUGAAGGAGACUCAAGAGAGAAACAGCGAGAGAGAGAGAUUGUCAAAAAAAAUCUGUUUCACUUACUUACAAAUGCAGCUAGCUAAUUAAGCCUACUGAAACACCCUGCUCAAACAGAGGGAUGCUAUGUUAGCUAGCUGUCUAUGACUUUCCAACACAGCACUGGAACUCUUCCAAGUCAAGGUAAGCUUUUGGUUUUACUAAUGUAUUGCCACCGGGGCCCGUUGGUGUAACUGCUUACUAAGUGUACACUAACGUUUCUGCAUGAUUGUAGCUUGUUUACAAAUGUGUUAGUUCUAUUAGCUAUUCUGACUAUGAAAUUACUUUAGCUAAUAUGGUGACAAUGAUGGAGGCUGUGUAUAGCGGUUUGGCUUAGAAUGUAAGGUUCGACGCAGGAGAUGAGAAGCAGGUACAGGGAGUCAAGGUUUAAUAGCUGACGGACAUGAAACGGAACAGGAACAGUGUCUGGACAGGAAUACAUAACAACAAUUAAUGCGGACACAGGGAACACCACUGAGGAACAGGGUAUAAUCAAAAUGUGAAGGAGUCCAGGUGAGUCCAAUGAGCGCUGCUGUGCGGAUCGCCCAUGGCGUCCCACCUGGGCAAUCCUGGCGAGCCAGUUGAGGCGUGGGAGCCUGACGAUCCAGCUGAGGCGUGAAAGCCUGACAAUCCUGCUGCAGUGGAGAAGCCCGAUGGGCCGGCUGAAGCAUGACGUGAUAUGGAAACCUGCCGAGCCAACCGAGGCAAGGAAACCUCUCGAGCCAACUAGGGUGUGACAGCCCGACGAGCCAGCUUAGGCACCCCCGGUUCCAUCAGUGGCGGAAUCCAAGCCCGAUGUCACCGACAAAACAAAAAAAAUUAUGGGCCGGCUGAGGCAUAGGAGCCCAACAAGCCGGCUGAAGCAUGACGUGGGAUGGGAACCUGCCAAGCCAACCAGGGCAAGGAAACCUCACGAGACAGCUAGGGCAUGAGAGCCCGACGAGCCAGCUUAGGCGGCGGCCCCCGGGUCCAAAGUCAACAACAAAACAAAACCCUAAAAAACUCCCUGAUGCUUCAGAUAAUGGUGUUUGCAUUCUGGAAGGAUCGAUGCAGGAGAUGAGAAGCAGGUACAGGGACUGAAGGUAUAAUAGCUGACGGAUAUGAAACAGAACAAGAACACUGUCUGGACAGGAACACAUAGCAACAAUUAAUGCAGACACAGGGAACACCACCGAGGAACAGACAGAUAUACAGGGGGUAAUCAACAAAGCGAAGAAGUCCAGGUGAGUCCUAUGAGCGCUGCUGCGUGAAAUGAUGGUGACAGGUGCGUGUAAAGAAGGGUAGCCUGGUGCCCUUGAGCACCAGAGAGGGGGAGCAGGAGCAGGCGUGACAUGGAAAGGUUUUUUCACCUGGUCACAUACAGCUGAUGUGUUGUGCACUGAAGUCCACAAGCAAAGGCAAGAGGUGAAAUUAGGAGAGCUCAUAGAUACGAGAAGGAAAACAACAUGGCUGCUAUGAAAGUGAACUGUGGAGUGUGAUAAGCUACGCGUGAUAAGGGGUGUAUUCAUUCCGCCUAUUCUGUUGAAAAACGUUUCUUAAACGGAAGCAAACGGAUCAAAACGGGGAUAAACAUACCUGCAUUUGUCCAAUAUAAACUCUCGUUUAAAACUGUUGGACUAAUGAUUACACCCUAUAUCAGCUAGAUGCAGGCAAUAGUUUGCAAGGCGGUAUUGAAUGUCACUGUCUGUCCAUGUGUCACUCUCUGUCACCUACGUUGUGAACUCAUUCAUAGGCUAGGUUGUAGCAACCUCAUGAUGGUCAGGACGUGACAUGAAGCAGAUACACCAAUGAUGCAAAUAAUAAAAGUCUUGGGUCAGAAUAUAAUUAAUUGAAUUAGUGUGACAGCUUUAAAUAUAAAUAAUUAGAUCCACACUGUCCCUUUGAAUAAUGUUUAGGAACAUAACGCUGCCAUAACAAAAACCCUCUGUGGAUGAGAUUUCCCACCCCUGCUGAAGACAACUAAAUUGUGUGAUUAGGGCUAAACAAGUGAACAUGACAAUCAAUUGACAGAAAACUGUUUACCAACCAAGAAUAGAUCCUUGAUGCCUGGGGGUGCAGGGCUCAUGGGUUGCAGGAGCAUUUAUUGUGUCGAUAGACAAUUGGUGUCUGGGGGUUGCAGGGCUCUUAUGGUGUGGCUUUACUAUACGAGCACUCAGCUUCUUCUGAGUCUGUAGGUUCAGCUAUUUCCUCUGAAAAGUAUAAGUAUGUUUGUAUAAUGUAUAGUCGGAUACUCCAGCUAACGUCAAACAUUCCGCCAACUCCACAGCGUUAGCCUUUAAUAGAUGUUUAUAUGGCAGGUUGUCGACCCUGGUUCACGUCUCACGCAGUGCUCACUCUCACAUGCUACAUCUAGCUACACUGAAGACAUUGGUAA
rnacentral:lncRNA from 1 species